rnacentral:rRNA from 1 species
UGGGGAAUCUUGCGCAAUGGGCGAAAGCCUGACGCAGCGACGCCGCGUGUGGGAUGACGGCCUUCGGGUUGUAAACCACUGUCGGGAGGGACGAAAAUCUGACGGUACCUCCAAAGGAAGCACCGGCUAACUCCGUGCCAGCAGCCGCGGUAAUACGGAGGGUGCGAGCGUUGUCCGGAAUCACUGGGCGUAAAGGGCGCGUAGGCGGCUUGAUAAGUAGGGGGUGAAAUCCUGCGGCUUAACCGCAGGGCUGCCUUCUAAACUGUUAGGCUAGAGCACGGUAGAGGCAGAUGGAAUUCCCGGUGUAGCGGUGGAAUGCGUAGAGAUCGGGAAGAACAUCAGUGGCGAAGGCGGUCUGCUGGGCCGUUGCUGACGCUGAGGCGCGACAGCGUGGGGAGCAAACAGG